rnacentral:rRNA from 1 species
GACGAACGCUGGCGGCGUGCUUAACACAUGCAAGUCGGACGGUGAACGAGGGAGCUUGCUCCCUCCGGAUCAGUGGCGAACGGGUGAGUAACACGUGAGCAAUCUGCCCCGAACUCUGGGAUAAGCGUUGGAAACGACGUCUAAUACCGGAUACGACGCGGGAGGGCAUCCUCUCCGCGUGGAAAGAACUUCGGUUCGGGAUGAGCUCGCGGCCUAUCAGCUUGUUGGUGAGGUAACGGCUCACCAAGGCGACGACGGGUAGCCGGCCUGAGAGGGUGACCGGCCACACUGGGACUGAGAAACGGCCCAGACUCCUACGGGAGGCAGCAGUGGGGAAUAUUGCACAAUGGGCGCAAGCCUGAUGCAGCAACGCCGCGUGAGGGAAGACGGCCUUCGGGUUGUAAACCUCUUUUAGCAGGGAAGAAGCGAAAGUGACGGUACCUGCAGAAAAAGCACCGGCUAACUACGUG